CAUGGCGACGAUGGGUAGCCGGCCUGAGAGGGUGAACGGCCACACUGGAACUGAGAGACGGUCCAGACUCCUACGGGAGGCAGCAGCUAAGAAUCUUCCGCAAUGGGCGCAAGCCUGACGGAGCGACGCCGCGUGAACGAUGAAGGCCGCAAGGUUGUAAAGUUCUUUUCGGGAAGGAGAAUAAGGGGAGCAGGCAAUGGCUUUCCGAUGCCGUGAAUCCCGGAAUAAGCCCCGGCUAACUACGUGCCAGCAGCCGCGGUAACACGUAGGGGGCGAGCGUUGUUCGGAAUCAUUGGGCGUAAAGGGCGCGCAGGCGGCGUAUAAAGUCUGGCGUGAAAGUCCCCGGCUCAACCGGGGGAUAGCGUUGGAAACUGGUAUGCUUGAGUACGAGAGGGGAUGGCGGAAUUCCAGGUGUAGGGGUGAAAUCUGUAGAUAUCUGGAGGAACACCAACGGCGAAGGCAGCCAUCUGGUUCAGUACUGACGCUGAGGCGCGAAGGUGCGGGGAGCAAACAGGUUUAGAUACCCUGGUAGUCCGCACAGUAAACGAUGUGCACCAGGUGUCGGGCAACAGUUGUUCGGUACCGAAGCAAACGC
rnacentral:rRNA from 1 species